AUAGGUGAUGGGAAGGGGGCUAGCAUUUAUCGAUCACCUUCUGUGUGCUGGGCCCUUUGCCGGUCACUUUAUGUAAAUCCGUGAUUUUCUCCAAUCCUCCCAACAUCCACCAUGAGGCCGGCAUAGUCGCUCCAGAUAACUAUGUGAUGCUUAUAAGGCUGGCCUGAGCCAAGAGGAACCAGCUCCAGGGAAGGUGGGGGAGAGAGAAGAAGGUCACUGCUGACGUCAGGGACAUUCAGGUAGGAGGUAAACACAAUGUGACCUACAUUUAUCCAUUUUCCACAUUCUGCCCCUACUCACUGGGGUAGCGUUUUCUGGGCACCCCUGAGAACAGUUCUCACAGUCCAGUGGGACCCCCUCUUCCCCCAGGACCUCAAUCCCUGGGACAUUCUAUCUUGGUCUUUCAUUACCAAGCACUGUUCUAGCUCCUGGCUCCAGCUUUACCCCCAAGGGUGGCACAGGUGUGGAAGAGACAGGCAAGAGAGAGGACACCUAAAGGCAUAGUGUGCUAGUCUUACAUCCACUGACUCACUCCCAAGACACGGAAAUUUCAUGUCUCUUCAGAACAGAUGGGGGGGUGGGUAGAUGGGUGGGGUAGUGCUGUUUUCCCCUGUGCAGCCCCAAGGAACCCCCAGCGGAAGGUGGCUUUUGUUGGUUUCAGUCACAGAGUUUUUUUCUGGAGUGACUCAGUGAUUGGAGGGCCCCCUGAAGGGGUAGGGACCUGGUUGAACAGGGAACCUAGAACCUACUCAGGCCAGACCUACUGAACUAGUGUCAGGGUCUCUCAGGAAUGGAGCCCAGGAUUCUUUCUGCAUGUUUACCAAGCUCAUCCAGGAUUCCUGAUGUCUGGUUAUUGUGAUGCUCAUUCAAGUUUGAGAACCACUGCUUAAGGUCUGCUCCAAAUCAGACAACUGAAUGAGCUUUCUCCAUCCCGUGUACGGCCAGGGCAGAGGGAGGAAGGUAGGCUGCAGAUCUGAGAGCGUAGGGUGCCAACAAGUGGGAGAGAUACCGCCAGAGACAAACAGAUAUUUUAUUA